rnacentral:rRNA from 1 species
AUUGAACGCUGGCGGCAGGCCUAACAUAUGCAAGUCGAGCGGAUGAAGGGAGCUUGCUCCUGGAUUCAGCGGCGGACGGGUGAGUAAUGCCUAGGAAUCUGCCUGGUAGUGGGGGAUAACGUCCGGACACGGGCGCUAAUACCGCAUACGUCCUGAGGGAGAAAGUGGGGGAUCUUCGGACCUCACGCUAUCAGAUGAGCCUAGGUCGGAUUAGCUAGUUGGUGGGGUAAAGGCCUACCAAGGCGACGAUCCGUAACUGGUCUGAGAGGAUGAUCAGUCACACUGGAACUGAGACACGGUCCAGACUCCUACGGGAGGCAGCAGUGGGGAAUAUUGGACAAUGGGCGAAAGCCUGAUCCAGCCAUGCCGCGUGUGUGAAGAAGGUCUUCGGAUUGUAAAGCACUUUAAGUUGGGAGGAAGGGCAGUAAGUUAAUACCUUGCUGUUUUGACGUUACCAACAGAAUAAGCACCGGCUAACUUCGUG